GCCGAGGUGGCGGAAUUGGUAGACGCGCUAGCUUCAGGUGCUAGUGUCCUUAUGGACGUGCUGGUUCGACUCCAGUCCUCGGUACCA
rnacentral:tRNA from 1 species